UGCAACUGCCAGUUCUCGCUGGCCUACGGUGCGAAGAUCCUGCUCAACACCGCUUCGCUCCGCCUCAAGCGCGGCCACCGCUACGGUCUCUGCGGUCGCAACGGUACCGGAAAAUCCACCCUCAUGCGUGCGAUCACCAAUGGCCAAGUCGAGGGCUUCCCUUCCCCCGACGAGGUUCGCACCUUCUACGUUGAGCACGACAUCGACGGUAGCGAGGCCGAUACCACUAUCCUCGAGUUCAUCCUCGCCGACAAGCGUAUCCAGGCGACCCG
rnacentral:misc_RNA from 1 species